UGAAUACGAGACGCUAAGGCGUCGAAGUAGUGUAUGUCAUACUUCCAAGAAAAGCUUGCACUGUCAUAGAUAAAAAACGCCUGUACCAUAACCGACACAGGUGGGUAGGUAGAGUAUACUAAGGGGCGCGAGAUAACUCUCUCUAAGGAACUCGGCAAAAUAACUCCGUAACUUCGGGAGAAGGAGUGCCUUAUUCGUAAGGUUGCAAUAACAAGAUCCAAGCAACUGUUUAUCAAAAACACAGGUCUCCGCUAAGUCGUAAGACGAUGUAUGGGGGCUGACGCCUGCCCAGUGCCAGAAGGUUAAAGAAGUUGGUUAGCAAUUGCGAAGCUGAUAACUGAAGCCCUGGUGAACGGCGGCCGUAACUAUAACGGUCCUAAGGUAGCGAAAUUCCUUGUCGGGUAAGUUCCGACCCGCACGAAAGGCGUAAUGAUUUGGAUACUGUCUCGGAGAGGGGCUCGGUGAAAUAGACUUGUCUGUGAAGAUGCGGACUACCUGCACCAGGACAGAAAGACCCUAUGAAGCUUUACUGUAACUUGAAAUUGAAAUUGGACUUUAUUCGCGCAGUAUAGGUGGGAGGCGUUGAUUAUAAUCUUGUGGGAUUAUUGGAGCCAUCAGUGAGAUACCACUCUUGUAAUGUUAGAUUUCUAACUUUGAAUCAUUAUCUGGUCAAAGAACAGUUUCAGGCGGGCAGUUUGACUGGGGCGGUCGCCUCCUAAGCGGUAACGGAGGCGUACAAAGGUUUCCUCUGAACGGUUAGAAAUCGUAUCUAGAGUGUAAAGGCAUAAGGAAGCUUGACUGUGAGACCUACAAGUCGAGCAGGGACGAAAGUCGGUCUUAGUGAUCUGACGGUACUGAGUGGAAAGGCCGUCACUCAACGGAUAAAAGUUACUCUAGGAUAACAGGCUGAUCUCCCCCAAGAGUUCACAUCGACGGGGAGGUUUGGCACCUCGAUGUCGGCUCAUCGCAUCCUGGGGCGGUAGUACGUCCCAAGGGUUGGGCUGUUCGCCCAUGAAAGCGGUACGCGAGCUGGGUUCAGAACGUCGUGAGACAGUUCGGUCCAUAUCCGGUGUAGGCGUUAGAAUAUUGAGAGGAGCCUUCUUUAGUACGAGGGGACCGAGAAGGACAUACCUCUGGUGUACCAGUUACCGUGCCAACGGUAAACGCUGGGUAGCUAUGUAUGGAGUGGAUAACCGCUGAAAGCAUCUAAGUGGGAAGCCCACCUCAAGAUAAGUAUUCUCAUCAU
rnacentral:rRNA from 1 species